rnacentral:rRNA from 1 species
CAGCAUGGGAGCUUGCUCCUGAUGGCGAGUGGCGAACGGGUGAGUAAUAUAUCGGAACGUACCCUAGAGUGGGGGAUAACGCAGCGAAAGUUGCGCUAAUACCGCAUACGAUCUACGGAUGAAAGUGGGGGAUCGCAAGACCUCAUGCUCAUGGAGCGGCCGAUAUCUGAUUAGCUAGUUGGUGGGGUAAAAGCCUACCAAGGCAUCGAUCAGUAGCUGGUCUGAGAGGACGACCAGCCACACUGGAACUGAGACACGGUCCAGACUCCUACGGGAGGCAGCAGUGGGGAAUUUUGGACAAUGGGCGCAAGCCUGAUCCAGCAAUGCCGCGUGAGUGAAGAAGGCCUUCGGGUUGUAAAGCUCUUUUGUCAGGGAAGAAACGGUGAGCUCUAAUACAGUUUGCUAAUGACGGUACCUGAAGAAUAAGCACCGGCUAACUACGUGCCAGCAGCCGCGGUAAUACGUAGGGUGCAAGCGUUAAUCGGAAUUACUGGGCGUAAAGCGUGCGCAGGCGGUUAUGUAAGUCAGAUGUGAAAUCCCCGGGCUCAACCUGGGAAUGGCAUUUGAGACUGCAUGGCUAGAGUGUGUCAGAGGGGGGUAGAAUUCCACGUGUAGCAGUGAAAUGCGUAGAGAUGUGGAGGAAUACCGAUGGCGAAGGCAGCCCCCUGGGAUAACACUGACGCUCAUGCACGAGAGCGUGGGGAGCAAACAGGAUUACAUACGCUGGGAGUCCACGCCCUACACGAUGUCUACUA